UGGGGAAUUUUGGACAAUGGGCGAAAGCCUGAUCCAGCAAUGCCGCGUGUGUGAAGAAGGCCUUCGGGUUGUAAAGCACUUUUGUCCGGAAAGAAAUCCUUGGCUCUAAUACAGUCGGGGGAUGACGGUACCGGAAGAAUAAGCACCGGCUAACUACGUGCCAGCAGCCGCGGUAAUACGUAGGGUGCAAGCGUUAAUCGGAAUUACUGGGCGUAAAGCGUGCGCAGGCGGUUUGCUAAGACCGAUGUGAAAUCCCCGGGCUCAACCUGGGAACUGCAUUGGUGACUGGCAGGCUAGAGUAUGGCAGAGGGGGGUAGAAUUCCACGUGUAGCAGUGAAAUGCGUAGAGAUGUGGAGGAAUACCGAUGGCGAAGGCAGCCCCCUGGGCCAAUACUGACGCUCAUGCACGAAAGCGUGGGGAGCAAACAGGAUUAGAUACCCUGGUAGUCCGCGCCCUAAACGAUGUCAACUAGUUGUUGGGGAUUCAUUUCCUUAGUAACGUAGCUAACGCGUGAAGUUGACCGCCUGGGGAGUACGGUCGCAAGAUUAAAACUCAAAUGAAUUGACGGGGGUCAUAGCUGUUUCCU
rnacentral:rRNA from 1 species